rfam:Metarhizium robertsii ARSEF 23 MAA_Scf_6, whole genome shotgun sequence.
GCGGUCAUAGAUUAGCUGGGAGAUCGUCAGACUGAAGUCCAGGCUUCAAUCCUACGGAUGCCUAUCUGAAGGUCGUGUGUUCAAGUCACACUGACCGCA